UACGGAGGGGGCUAGCGUUGUUCGGAAUUACUGGGCGUAAAGCGCACGUAGGCGGCUUUGCAAGUCAGAGGUGAAAGCCCGGGGCUCAACCCCGGAAUAGCCUUUGAGACUGCAUCGCUAGAAUUGUGGAGAGGUAAGUGGAAUUCCGAGUGUAGAGGUGAAAUUCGUAGAUAUUCGGAAGAACACCAGUGGCGAAGGCGACUUACUGGUCCGGUACUGACGCUGAGGUGCGAAGCGUGGGAGCAACAGG
rnacentral:rRNA from 1 species